AUUGAACGCUGGCGGAAUGCUUUACACAUGCAAGUCGAACGGCAGCACGGACUUCGGUCUGGUGGCGAGUGGCGAACGGGUGAGUAACGUAUCGGAACGUGCCCAGUCGUGGGGGAUAACGUAGUGAAAAUUACGCUAAUACCGCAUACGAUCUAUGGAUGAAAGCGGGGGAUCGCAAGACCUCGCGCGAUUGGAGCGGCCGAUAUCAGAUUAGGUAGUUGGUGGGGUAAAGGCCCACCAAGCCAACGAUCUGUAGCUGGUCUGAGAGGACGACCAGCCACACUGGAACUGAGACACGGUCCAGACUCCUACGGGAGGCAGCUGUGGGGAGUUUUGGACAAUGGGCGAAAGCCUGAUCCAGCCAUUCCGCGUGCAGGAUGAAGGCCCUCGGGUUGUAAACUGCUUUUGUACAGAACGAAAAGGUUUCUACUAAUACUAGGAGCUCAUGACGGUACUGUAAGAAUAAGCACCGGCUAACUACGUGCCAGCAGCCGCAGUAA
rnacentral:rRNA from 1 species